GCCUUUGUAAUGUAGUGGUCAGCACACUCGGCGCGUAUUCGAGAGGUCCGUGGUUCGAGUCUCCGCGAGGGCA
rnacentral:tRNA from 1 species